CCUACGGGUGGCAGCAGUAAGGAAUAUUGGACAAUGGCGGAGACGCUGAUCCAGCUAUCCCGCGUGCAGGAUGAAGGACCUAUGGUUUGUAAACUGCUUUAGACUGGGGCGAAAAAGUGGGAUUUAUCCUACAUUGACGGUACCAGUAAAAUAAGCACCGGCUAACUCCGUGCCAGCAGCCGCGGUCAUACGGAGGGUGCAAGAGUUAUCCGGAAUCACGGGUGAUAAAGCGUCGUUAUGAGUCAGGAGUGAAAGGCCACGGCUUAACCGUGGGAUUGCUUUUGAUACUGGCGAGCUUGGAUUAGGACGAGGUUGGCGGAAUGUGGCAAGUAGCGGUGAAAUGCAUAGAUAUGCCAUAGAAUACCGAUUGCGAAGGCAGCUGACUAGACCUAUAUUGACGCUGAGGCACGAAAGCGUGGGGAGCGAACAGGAUUAGAUACCCCAGUAGUC
rnacentral:rRNA from 1 species